rnacentral:rRNA from 1 species
GUGGGGAAUCUUGCGCAAUGGGCGAAAGCCUGACGCAGCCAUGCCGCGUGGAUGAUGAAGGUCUUAGGAUUGUAAAAUUCUUUCACCGGGGACGAUAAUGACGGUACCCGGAGAAGAAGCCCCGGCUAACUUCGUGCCAGCAGCCGCGGUAAUACGAAGGGGGCUAGCGUUGCUCGGAAUUACUGGGCGUAAAGGGCGCGUAGGCGGAUCGUUAAGUCAGGGGUGAAAUCCCAGAGCUCAACUCUGGAACUGCCCUUGAUACUGGCGAUCUUGAGUGUGAGAGAGGUAUGUGGAACUCCGAGUGUAGAGGUGAAAUUCGUAGAUAUUCGGAAGAACACCAGUGGCGAAGGCGACAUACUGGCUCAUUACUGACGCUGAGGCGCGAAAGCGUGGGGAGCAAACAGGAUUAGAUACCCGUGUGUCC